GGACGUGCCUUGAUUUGAAUUACAUAAUUAUAUAAUUCGUCCGGGUUUAGUCGUAAAAUCAAAGUAAAUUUGGAUAGCAACAUUUAAAGAUUGUUAAGAAUGGACAAAGAAUCAGCCGAAUUCUCUGAUAAACAGACGAACAUGGACCACAGGUCAAAAAUUGCAUUUUUUCAAAUAAAGCAAAACCCACACAGCCCCCACGAAGGAAAACAGAUAUUCAAAGAGGAGAUAGUCAUGAAGCACAAUCAGCUUCAGCUAGAGCGCUGGAUGGUGAGUCAUCUCAAAGCCUAUCAACACGAACGAUAGACUCAACGGAUAAGAAGUCCGGCAAUAAAUUCGGGUAUGAAGUACGAGGGAAAAUAGUAAACGUCUCUGCCAGUCAAAACAUGUAAGCCAUUUUAUAAAUAGAU